rnacentral:rRNA from 1 species
UACAGAGGGUGCGAGCGUUGUCCGGAAUCACUGGGCGUAAAGGGCGCGUAGGCGGCUCAGUAAGGUUGCGGUGAAAGCCCGGGGCUCAACCCCGGGUCGGCCGUGGCAACUGCUGGGCUGGAGCACUGUAGAGGCAGGUGGAAUUCCGGGUGUAGCGGUGGAAUGCGUAGAGAUCAUGAGGAAGACCAGUGGCGAAGGCGGGGUCUCUGGACAGUUCCUGACACUGAGACACGAAGGCCAGGGGAGCAAACGGG